GCUUAACACAUGCAAGUCGAACGAGACCUUCGGGUCUAGUGGCGCACGGGUGCGUAACGCGUGGGAAUCUGCCCUUAGGUACGGAAUAACAGUGAGAAAUUACUGCUAAUACCGUAUGAUGUCUUCGGACCAAAGAUUUAUCGCCUAGGGAUGAGCCCGCGUUGGAUUAGCUAGUUGGUGGGGUAAAGGCCUACCAAGGCGACGAUCAGUAGCUGGUCUGAGAGGACGAUCAGCCACACUGGGACUGAGACACGGCCCAGACUCCUACGGGAGGCAGCAGUGGGGAAUUUUCCGCAAUGGGCGAAAGCCUGACGGAGCAAUACCGCGUGAGGGAGGAAGGCUCUUGGGUCGUAAACCUCUUUUGUGCGGGAAGAUAAUGACGGUACCGCAAGAAUAAGCCCCGGCUAACUUCGUGCCAGCNCCCCGCGGUAAUAC
rnacentral:rRNA from 1 species